rnacentral:lncRNA from 1 species
GUUUAAUUAAGUAUAUCAGGCCAGACACUUCUGAAGUAGAAAAAGAAGGUGGAGGGAGAUGUCCUACCGGAUAUCGAGAGCUGUUACAAAGCUAUUGUAAUAAACACAGUGUGAUACUGGCACAGGAUAGACAAAUUGACAAUGGAACAGAACAGGGAGCCCAGAAGCAGACCCAUGGCCCUAUGGAAACUUGAUGGAUGGUAGGUGAGAUUGCAGACCCGCAGGAGAAAGACGACGUAUUGAAUACAUGGCGCAGGGACCAGUGGUUACCUACAUGCAAGACAUGGAAUUGGAUCACUACCUCCCAACAGGCACAAAAGCCAGUUCCUGAUACAUUAGACUUCAAGAUGAAAGACAAAACUUAAAACUUUUGGAAUAAAAUGUGGGCAAACCUCUUUAUAGUAUUGGGCAGAAAAGGAUUUCUUUAGCCAGGCAAGAAAAAAUGUUAACCAUAUGAGAAAACAGUUAUAAAUUUAACCAAAUCAAAUGAAGAACUUUUUGCUUAUUACCAGAAAGACAAAGAAAGACACCAUUAAUUAGAGAAAAACAGGAGGGGCGCGGUGGCUCAUGUCUGCAAUUCCAGCACUUUGGAAGGCUGAGGUGGGAGGAUCACUUGAGCUCAGGAGUUCAAGACCAGCCUGGGCAACAUAAUGAAACCUCAGAAACCUCACCUCUGCUAAAAAUAAAAAUAAAAAAGAAUUUUAUAAAAAAUUUUAAAAAGGGAAAAAUAAAUUACAAAGGAUAUAUAUAUAUAUAUAUAUAGAUAUAGAUAGAUAGAUAGAUAGAUAGGCAGAAUUUCACUCUUGUCACCCAGUCUGGAGUGCAAUGGCACAAUCUUGGCUCGCUGCAACCUCUGCCUCCUGGGUUCAAGCGAUUCUUCUGCCACAGCCUCUGGAGCAGCUGGGGUUACAGGCACCCGCCACCAUACCCAGCUAAGUUUUGUACAUGUUUAGUAGAGAUGGGGUUUCACUGUGUUGGCCAGGCUGAUCUUGAACUCUUGACCUCAGAUGAUCCACCCACCUCAGCCCCGCAAAGUGCUGGGAUUACAGGUGUGAGCUACCGUGCCUGGCCACAAAGAAGAUAUUUUUUAACACAUAUAACUGACCAAAGAUUAUUAUCUAGAAUACAUAAAGACCUUUUAGGAAUCAGGACAAACAACCACAUUUGGGUUUGUUUGUUUCUGAGAAAAGGUUUUUCUCUGUUGCCCAGGCUGAAGUGUAGUGAUGCGGUCCCAGCUCACUGCAACCUCUGCCUCCCAGGCUCAAAGCGAACCUACUGAGUAGCUGGGACUUCAGGUGCACACCACCACACCCGGCUAAUUUUUGUAUUUUUUCAUGAGCAAGCAUUUUAUUUAAAAAAAUAAACACAAAUGGUAUAUAAAUAUUUGACAAGGUGCUCAUCAGUAACCAAGCAAAUGCAAACUAAGACCACAGUGAGAUCUCAUUCUAUACCCACUGGCUUGGCAAAAUUAAGGGCACCUGAUAGUACCAGAGGGUAGCAAGGAUGUGGAUCAAUGGGAUACUUACAUGACACUUAUAUGACUGACGGGAGUACAUUAGAACAGCCACUUUGAAAAGCAAUUUGGUACUGCAGUAGACUAUUGUUCAGAAAUAUCUUCUCCUCACCCCUAUUUACAGAAUAUACUUUUCUGCCCUAUUGAUGCCUGGCUUGGCUGCAGGAUUUGCUCUAAAGGUUAUAGUAGAACCAACUAAAUAGGAGCAGAAGUGACAGAUACCCAUUUGCCAUGCGAUGGCCAAUGUUCCAAAUAGAAGCUGCUCCCUCCACCUAAAUCCCAGAGUAAAAUAACAUGGGACAGAGGCACGCAAGCUUGCAAUAGGCAUGUCAUACAAAAGUGUAAGAAAUGGCCAGGCAUGGUGGCUCAUGC